UGUGAUACUAAAACUCUGUAAAAAAAGUUACAUGAUGCACAAGACUGUGAAAGCCUAAAUACAUGCACCAAAAAUCAUAACACACAGGACUCGAGGAAUCACCAACACUAAAUGAAGCAGCAGAUCUUUGCAGAAUGUACUGCCUUAGUGAGAUUUUCCUUCAAUACUUACCUCUGUUUCAAAGAGCUAAGAAUAAAAUUAUUACUUCUAUUUGGGACAGAACACUUAUACCAUUUCUAAAAAUGCUCAAGAAAAAGGAUACAUUUUGGAGUGGAUUUUAACCAAAGA